rnacentral:rRNA from 1 species
UACGAAGGGGGCUAGCGUUGCUCGGAAUGACUGGGCGUAAAGGGCGCGUAGGCGGUUUGUACAGUCAGAUGUGAAAUUCCCGGGCUCAACCUGGGGGCUGCACUUGAUACGUGCGGACUUGAGUGGGGAAGAGGGUCGUGGAAUUCCCAGUGUAGAGGUGAAAUUCGUAGAUAUUGGGAAGAACACCGGUGGCGAAGGCGGCGACCUGGUCCUUGACUGACGCUGAGGCGCGAAAGCGUGGGGAGCAAACAGG